AUGAAUAACCUCUAAAGGAAGUUACUUCACAUAAUGACAGCAAUUUCUCUGAACUAAAUGUUAAUAAUAAGGCCUGUAAUACUAUGAGAAGGAAAUGGUGGCAAUUGGCAAAUGGAACUCUGUUGCUUGGUAACAAGACCUGAGGUAUGAACAUUCUCUACCUCACGGGAAAAGGGUGGGUGGAAAGAUUGCAGCUCCAGCCUGCACGUUUGAGAGGCGGGCAGCUUUAUGAAGACACCCGCUGUCCAGAGGUUGAUCCUGAACAGAGUUCCCAUUCCAGUUCCUUCCCACUCCAAAGGACAGAUGGUGAUGGAGUGGCCUGGUGAUUUACUUGAAAUGAGUUGGUCCCAUGAGCUACAACUAGGAUACUGAAGAUACAGGAGAUCGAUGACGAAGGCCCAGGCAAUUGGAGUAAAGCCCGCUGGCUCUAGCAAUUGGUCCAAGAGUGAGCACCUGUUGAAAGAUGAGCCUUUCUUUUCCAGAGAUUCCCCAAACUGAAGGAUAUUCAUCAACAACUGGGAUCGUCAAGUACUGCUGCCGGACCAGAGCACCACUCAACAACAGCACUGAAAGGAAAGGAUAGAAAGGAACCGAAAGCCACCUGUCGGUGCACAUCUGGGGAGACCUACAGGCAAGACUGAGCCCAUUCAGGUCAUUAUCAGAUCAAACAGAACACCAGCAAAAUAGCAGCAUGACAGUCCAACUGUAUACUUUUUUGUCUAGCUGUGGACCAGUUUUAUCAGCCAUUUAUCUGAUGGUUAUUCGCAAGCCCUACUAUCCUUACCAACAGUGAAGAUGACAUUAUUAGCUUCCUAAUGUAUUAGUAACAAAUGUUUUUUGUGUGGGUCAUUGUGCUAAAUGUUCUACAUAUAUUAUAUCCUUUAAGUUUCCAAUAAGACAGACACUGCUAUACUCAUUUUACAAGGACUCUUAGUGGCACACCCCACAUAAUGGAAACCACCUGAAGUAAGCUGAGUGAGUCUCAUGGGAACAGCCCCUGAUUCAUGUCAAUCUUCCUGCCAAGUUCACUGAACAUAGAUCCCAUGUGACAGAUAUUUCCAUCAAGAAUCCAGAAUCCUAUUGGAAACUGAAACUGAUAAAAUUUAGAAAUUGUUCUCUGUUAUCCGUAUCUUUGGAAGGGACAGUUAAAAAUUACUCAACCACAAAAAUGUACCCCAUGUGGUGAAGGUGCUAUUUUCAUCAUGAUUUAAAGGCCCGUCCUGCUCUAACCCCUCAAUGGGGACCUGAGCAUCCCGCUAAAGGUGAAUGGAGGUCAAAAGAAACUGAAUUAAACACAGAACUAGGCCCAAACUAUUGAGGCCAUUCACACACUUUGAAAAAGGACCUAAGACCGCUAUUUUGUGGGUCUGAAUGAAUGCCCACUGACCUCCCAGUUUCUGUUGUUUCUCCUACACUGAAAUACAUCAACAUUCACACACAUUUGCCAUGCAUCUGAACAGCACUCGGCAUUUUGGAAGUGUGGUCCAUUUCCUAUUCUGGCAUAUUAAGUCAGUCUUCGUGUUUCUCUGUACAUGUGGCAUGCCGUC
ensembl:lncRNA